rnacentral:rRNA from 1 species
ACUUCAGGACGGGGACAACAGUUGGAAACGACUGCUAAUACCCGAUGUGCCGAAAGGUGAAACCUAAUUGGCCUGGAGAAGAGCUUGCGUCUGAUUAGCUAGUUGGUGGGGUAAAGGCCUACCAAGCCGACGAUCAGUAGCUGGUCUGAGAGGAUGAGCAGCCACACUGGGACUGAGACACGGCCCAGACUCCUACGGGAGGCAGCAGUGGGGAAUUUUCCGCAAUGGGCGAAAGCCUGACGGAGCAACGCCGCGUGAGGGAGGAAGGUCUUUGGAUUGUAAACCUCUUUUCUCAAGGAAGAAGUUCUGACGGUACUUGAGGAAUCAGCCUCGGCUAACUCCGUGCCAGCAGCCGCGGUAAUACGGGGGAGGCAAGCGUUAUCCGGAAUUAUUGGGCGUAAAGCGUCCGCAGGUGGUCAGCCAAGUCUGCCGUCAAAUCAGGUUGCUUAACGACCUA